UACAGAGGUCUCAAGCGUUGUUCGGAUUCAUUGGGCGUAAAGGGUGCGUAGGCGGCGCGGUAAGUCGGGUGUGAAAUCUCGGAGCUUAAACUCCGAAACUGCAUUCGAUACUGCCGUGCUUGAGGACUGGAGAGGAGACUGGAAUUUACGGUGUAGCGGUGAAAUGCGUAGAUAUCGUAAGGAAGACCAGUGGCGAAGGCGGGUCUCUGGACAGUUCCUGACGCUGAGGCACGAAGGCCCAGGGGAGCAAACGGG
rnacentral:rRNA from 1 species